rnacentral:rRNA from 1 species
AUUGAACGCUGGCGGCAUGCUUUACACAUGCAAGUCGAACGGCAGCGCGGGCUUCGGCCUGGCGGCGAGUGUCGAACGGGUGAGUAAUGCAUCGGAACGUGCCCAGUAGUGGGGGAUAGCCCGGCGAAAGCCGGAUUAAUACCUCAUACGACCUGAGGGUGAAAGCGGGGGACCGAAAGGCCUCGCGCUAUUGGAGCGGCCGAUGUCGGAUUAGCUAGUUGGUGGGGUAAAGGCUUACCAAGGCGACGAUCCGUAGCUGGUCUGAGGGGACGACCGGCCACACUGGGACUGGGACACGGCCCAGACUCCUACGGGAGGCAGAAGUGGGGAAUUUUGGACAAUGGGGGCAACCCUGAUCCAGCCAUGCCGCGUGCGGGAAGAAGGCCUUCGGGUUGUAAACCGCUUUUGUUCGGGAAGAAAUCCUCUGGGCUAAUACCCCGGGGGGAUGACGGUACCGGAAGAAUAAGCACCGGCUAACUACGUG